rnacentral:rRNA from 1 species
CCCUUCGAUGUUCUGGGCUGCACGCGCGCUACACUGAUAAAGUCAACGAGUUUACAACCUUAUCCGAAAGGAUUGGGUAAUCUUUUGAAACUUUAUCGUGAUGGGGAUAGAUGAUUGCAAUUAUUCGUCUUGAACGAGGAAUGCCUAGUAAGCGCAGUUCAUCAGACUGCGUUGAUUACGUCCCUGCCCUUUGUACACACCGCCCGUCGCUCCUACCGAUUGAAUGGUCCGGUGAAAUCUUCGGAUUGUUGAGUUGUCUUGUUGCUAGUUCGCUAGCAGCAGCGCUUGCGAGAAGUUGAUUAAACCUUAUCAUUUAGAGGAAGGAGAAGUCGUAACA